rnacentral:rRNA from 1 species
GUUCCCUUUGGGUGUGCGGUGUCAAAGCCGUGCACUCUUAACGGUCGGACAAGUCCGUCGGAGUGUGGUUAUUGUUGGAAGGGCAACCGACCAAUGAGGCCACCGUAAUCGUUCGGGGUGCCUUUAAUCGGGUGUCUCGGGCGGCCGACAUAGUUUACUUUGAACAAAUUAGAGUGCUCAAAGCAGGUGACUACCGCCUGAAUAGUACAGCAUGGAAUGAUGAAAGAGGACCUCGGUCUGACUUUGCUGGUCUUUAACGGUCGGGCUUCGGCCCGGCCUAUGCAGACCCGAGGUAAUGGUCAAUAGAGACGGACGGGGGCAUCCGUACUGCGGCGACAGAGGUGAAAUUCUUGGACCGCCGCAAGACGAACGACAGCGAAGGCAUUUGCCAAGAAUGUUUUCCUUGAUCAAGAACGAAAGUUAGAGGUUCGAAGGCGAUCAGAUACCGCCCUAGUUCUAACCAUAAACGAUGCCAACUAGCGAUCCGCCGGUGUUACUCCCAUGACUCGGCGGGCAGCUUCCGGGAAACCAAAGUCUUUGGGUUCCGGGGGAAGUAUGGUUGCAAAGCUGAAACUUAAAGGAAUUGACGGAAGGGCACCACCAGGAGUGGAGCCUGCGGCUUAAUUUGACCCAACACGGGAAACCUCACCAGGCCCGGACACUGGAAGGAUUGACAGAUUGAGAGCUCUUUCUUGAUUCGGUGGGUGGUGGUGCAUGGCCGUUCUUAGUUGGUGGAGCGAUUUGUCUGGUUAAUUCCGAUAACGAACGAGACUCUAGCCUGCUAAAUAGGUGCCGGGUUUUUACAUCUCCUCGCAAGGGGAGAGUGGAGUGUGUGGUUGUCGGGAUCCUGGGCUGUGGUGGUCGUUUAGGCUGCGGGGGGCAACUCUCGUGGUCUGGGCGGCUGUCAUAGUUCACCCGGUGUACGCACACUUCGCGUCCGGCAUUUUUCUUCUUAGAGGGACAAGCGGCGUCCAGCCGCGUGACAGUGAGCAGUAACAGGUCUGUGAUGCCCUUAGAUGUCCUGGGCCGCACGCGCGCUACACUGAAGGAAUCAGCGUGUUAUUCAUCCCUGUCUGAAAAGACCGGGCAACCGCUGAACCUCCUUCGUGGUUGGGAUUGGGGACUGCAAUGAUCCCCAUGAACCAGGAAUCCCUAGUAGGCGCGGGUCACUAGCCCGCGUCGAUUACGUCCCUGCCCUUUGUACACACCGCCCGUCGCUACUACCGAUUGAAUGAUUUAGUGAGAACUUCAGACGGCUAUGUUUGUCCGGGGCAACCCGCGUCGAGCAGGGCUGAAAGAUGUUCAAACUAGAUCCUUUAGAGGAAGUAAAAGUCGUAACAA